rnacentral:rRNA from 1 species
UUGACAUACUAGAACUUUCCAGAUAUGGAUUGGUGCCUUCGGGAACUUAGAUACAGGUGCUGCAUGGCUGUCGUCAGCUCGUGUCGUGAGAUGUUGGGUUAAGUCCCGCAACGAGCGCAACCCUUUUCCUUAUUUGCCAGCGGGUCAUGCCGGGAACUUUAAGGAUACUGCCAGUGACAAACUGGAGGAAGGCGGGACGACGUCAAGUCAUCAUGGCCCUUACGGCCAGGGCUACACACGUGCUACAAUGGUCGGUACAAAGGGUUGCUACCUCGCGAGAGGAUGCUAAUCUCAAAAAGCCGAUCGUAGUCCGGAUCGCAGUCUGCAACUCGACUGCGUGAAGUCGGAAUCGCUAGUAAUCGCGGAUCAGAAUGCCGCGGUGAAUACGUUCCCGGGCCUUGUACACACCGCCCGUCACACCAUGGGAGUUUGUUGCACCAGAAGUAGGUAGUCUAACCGCAAGGAGGACGCUUACCACGGUGUGGCCGAUGACUGGGGUGAAGUCGUAACAAGGUAAGCGUAGAUGA